rnacentral:rRNA from 1 species
UAGAAUUCCAGGUGUAGCGGUGAAAUGCGUAGAGAUCUGGAGGAAUACCGGUGGCGAAGGCGGCCCCCUGGACAAAGACUGACGCUCAAGUGCGAAAGCGUGGGGAGCAAACAGGAUUAGAUACCCUGGUAGUCCACGCUGUAAACGAUGUCGAUUUGGAGGUUGUGCCCUUGAGGGGUUGGCUUCCGGAGCUAACGCGUUAAAUCGACCGCCUGGGGAGUACGGCCGCAAGGUUAAAACUCAAAUGAAUUGACGGGGGCCCGCACAAGCGGUGGAGCAUGUGGUUUAAUUCGAUGCAACGCGAAGAACCUUACCUGGUCUUGACAUCCACAGAACUUUCCAGAGAUGGAUUGGUGCCUUCGGGAACUGUGAGACAGGUGCUGCAUGGCUGUCGUCAGCUCGUGUUGUGAAAUGUUGGGUUAAGUCCCGCAACGAGCGCAACCCUUAUCCUUUGUUGCCAGCGGUUAGGCCGGGAACUCAAAGGAGACUGCCAGUGAUAAACUGGAAGAAGGUGGGGAUGACGUCAAGUCUUCAUGGCCCUUACGACCAGGGCUACACACGUUGCUACCAUGGCAUAUACAAAGAGAAGCGACCUCGCGAGAGCAAGCGGACCUCAUAAAGUAUGUCGUAGUCCGGAUUGGAGUCUGCGACUCGACUCCAUGAAGUCGGAAUCGCUAGUAAUCGUAGAUCAAAUAUGCUACCGGUGAAUACGUUCCC